rnacentral:rRNA from 1 species
UAGGGAAUCUUCCGCAAUGGACGAAAGUCUGACGGAGCAACGCCGCGUGAGUGAAGAAGGAUUUCGGUUCGUAAAACUCUGUUGUUAGGGAAGAAAAAAUGUAUAGUAACUAUAUACAAAAGAGACGGUACCUAACCAGAAAGCCACGGCUAACUACGUGCCAGCAGCCGCGGUAAUACGUAGGUGGCAAGCGUUGUCCGGAAUUAUUGGGCGUAAAGCGCGCGCAGGUGGUUUAGAAAGUCUGAUGUGAAAGCCCACGGCUCAACCGGGGAGGGUCAUUGGAAACUAAUAAACUUGAGUGCAGGAGAGAAAAGUGGAAUUCCUAGUGUAGCGGUGAAAUGCGUAGAGAUGAGGAGGAACACCGGUGGCGAAAGCGGCUUUUUGGCCUGCAACUGACACUGAGGCGCGAAAGCGUGGGGAGCAAACAGG